rnacentral:rRNA from 1 species
UACGGGGGGGGCAAGCGUUGUUCGGAAUUACUGGGCGUAAAGGGCUCGUAGGUGGCCAACUAAGUCAGACGUGAAAUCCCUCGGCUUAACCUGGGAACUGCGUCUGAUACUGGAGGGCUUGAGUAUGGGAGAGGGAUGUAGAAUUCCAGGUGUAGCGGUGAAAUGCGUAGAUAUCUGGAGGAAUACCGGUGGCGAAGGCGGCAUCCUGGACCAUUACUGACGCUGAGGCGCGAAAGCUAGGGGAGCAAACGGG